rnacentral:rRNA from 1 species
UACGAAGGGGGCUAGCGUUGUUCGGAAUCACUGGGCGUAAAGCGCGCGUAGGCGGAUAUGUAAGUCAGGGGUGAAAGCCCGGGGCCCAACCCCGGAAUUGCCUUUGAAACUACAUAUCUAGAGACUCGGAGGGGGUAGUGGAAUUCCUAAUGUAGGGGUGAAAUCCGUAGAGAUUAGGAGGAACACCGGUGGCGAAGGCGGCUACCUGGACGAGUACUGACGCUGAGGUGCGACAGCGUGGGGAGCAAACAGG